UGUGUUCAGCCGGAUGCCAACAGCUAAACAGGGAGCUCCUGCACUGGCAGCAUGGCGCAGUUCAUCUGAUAAAUACAACGCAGCGUGGGGGGAAUGAACAGCUACGUGAGGAGAACAAUGAAACAUUGUGGGACCUGCAGGACCCGAGCAGAGCUACGAUGCUUUCCCAGUGUGGCCCAUGGUGAAAUUGAGUUUGAAACCCCUGCCCUAAAGGAUUAUGCCAUCACCAAGCUGAGCCAUCGCAGAACAGUUGCUGUAACAACUUCUUGUCAAAAUGCAUACUCCUAACUUUUCAGCAGACCUGAAAACACUACUACCCUCAACUCAUGUCCCAGGAAUCUCUGAAUCUCUCGGUUGUUACCACCAAGCCAUGCUUUGUCAUUCCCCAGGGCUUACACCAAAUGCCUUGACAGGAGCUUUCUCCACUCUGCUGUAACAACAUGGAACAGCCUUCCCCCUGCUGUCAUCGGUGACAUCACAUCAAGUAGUGUUCAAUCCUUUAAGAAGAGAUUGAAUAAACAUCUCCUCAGCAUGAGAUUGCUAUCCCAAAGCUCAAUGACUUCAAGCAUGCACUAAACAGCUUCAUAUAUAUUCCUGAGUGGCUGCAGAUCAGUGAUAGGCUGUCUGAAUGUAGCUUGUAUCUGCUGAAGAAAUACAAAAUAAAAAUGCUGUCAGUCAAAUCAA